rnacentral:lncRNA from 1 species
UCAAAAAUAAUCCUGGAAUCUAUGCAUGACCAAAUCUGGACAUUUAACCCCACAACUUGAAUAUUCGCAAUAUAAGCUACAAGAAACACUGGUCUACAAAAAAGCAGUGACACUACUUAAUUGUUCAUUCUUAUUUUACCAAAAAAAAAUUGUAUAUCCUCCAUGCUCAUCCCUUCUCUAUCACACCAAAGUACCCACAGCUUACUGGCCCAAAAAAU